AUCUUCUUCUCCCCUUGCUCCACCGCUCAGAGCACACUGCUCUGUCUCCGCCACGCAAUACAGACAGGAGUGGCCUUCGCCGGCGACGAGGCUCCUCCGUGACCAGAUCCCGCCACAGUCGCGGUGGCAGGGGUCGAGGGAUCCGCGGAGGGGGCCAGGGAUUUGGCGUUCGCUACAGCCGAGCACUAGGUACUGCCGCGCUACGACUCAGCUCCUCGCCGACCGGAGCGAGGUGCCGUCGCGGUCCGAGGCCGAGCGCCGCCGCGAGCACCAGGCCGCCGCGCUCGGGGCGACGCUGCCCGCACCAUCCCUGCGAUGCGCCCACCUCCAACCCGGCGGCGAUGGCGAUGUCCGCGAGGCCCUGGGCGCGAGGGAGGCGAUGGCGACCAGCUGAAGCGGCGGCGCCGUCAUCCUACACCGGGAGGCGGGGCCUGGUGGCGCACGAGGCUGCGGGACGCGGAAGGGGGAGAAGCAAUGGAGGUACUGACGGGCGCGGUGCUGUUCGAGGAGGCGGGGCGCGGAGGGAGAGAGCAGUGGAGGUGCUGACGCUGACGCCGCGGCGCUUCAUGGAGGUCAACUAGGAGGUGGACGAGGCCUUGCGGCUCGCAGCCGACCUGCUCGCCGAUGCGCCAAUAGGGAUCUGCUCGCCGGCGGGGACGCCAUUUUCUUCUAGUGAUGUGCGGAUGGUGAACUGCUCACCGGGAUUCACCCCGAGCCCAGGGAGUUGGAGUAUCGGGGAUAGGAUAUGUGCAUCGAGCAGAUUUUAGAUUUCUGGUUCACAUGGGUACACAUUGGGUACAUCUUGACAAUAUUUUUUCUGGAAUAGUUUCUUUUGAGCAUGGCAAAUUGUGUAGAACAUGAUAUUUAGUACAAUAUGGCAAAUUGGCAACUAGUGUGUAGUGUUUAGCACUGUUUAGUGUUGUUUGUCCUCCUGCGAGAAUUAUAUUCAGUAAUUUCCCAUGGCAUUUGUCCUCCUGUAUUUAGUCUGUAGUGCAAAUUUUGUAAACUUGCCAUGUGAUCAGUACAUACAAACUCUAGCUUUGAAAUGAAUCAUGAAUCGGAUUUUCUCUAGAUUUUGCCAUGAAUCAAAAGUAUAUAUUGUUGAACACUGCUUUGCCAUGGCAAAAAGGAUUUUAUAGCUUUUGGCAUGCCUCUAAUAUAGCUUUUUCCAUGUCACCACUAUAACUUUUGGCAUGACAUACACAUAUUUUUUUACCAUGGCAAAUUUGCUAAUCUAUUUGCCAUGCCUCUAAUAUAGUUUUCGCCAUGUCACCACUACAACUUUGGCCAUGUUCACAUGGAGUAGUAAAAAAACAAAUUUGAGUUGAUUGUAGAAAUAUGUGUUUGUUUCCCUUUUUUUGACUUUGUAAGAUUGAUGAUGACCACAUUAAGCAUUGCAACUUUUAAGAGAUUUGAUUUUGCUUUUGUACUUACUACUGCAAAUCCACCCAGACCAAACGACGGCGUCUUCACGGGCGAUUGGAUCUGAGCUCUCGUCUCGGUUCAUCUGUGCUGCCGGCGUCAUGACGGCGUCAACAGAACGAACCACAUCAGGUGCACGGCGUCAGGGCACAAUGAUGAAUUUUACGGAGGAUGCUCCGGUAAAGAAAGGCUCUGUUCUCUUAACAAGGAUGGAAAGUAUAACGGCAUACAAAAACCAACGUGGACAACCCAAAUCUGGAACUCCAGAACAAUCUGACAUUCCAGUAUCUGCUAAUGACAUGUGUUCCCUUGCUGAAUGGCCAUCCCAUGCUCGCCGCAACCGUGCGCUACUACAGGAUGAAGCUGGUGGACAGAAGAAGAAAGGGCGAGGUGUUCUAAAAGGUUUUAAAGCAUCUAAGAAGCGUUUUGCCAAUGGAUCUGCAAAGCUAAAUAUUACAUUCUCUGAAAAAUUGGGUGGUACAGUAGGAAUGAACUAUCGUUCGUUCAAGGAUGACGUGGUAGUCAUAAUGAAAAGAAAGUUACCACUCAUUGGAGUGAGGACGUGGUCGGACAUUCACCCUACCAUUCAUUGACUCAUUGUUGCAGAUAUGAUAGACAGAUGGGACCUAGAAGAUACACCAGAAACAGAAGAAAAAGUUCUCAAAAUUGCGAAAGAGAGAUAUAGAGGCUGGCGAUCAACUCUAAGCUCCACUUACAAGGCAUACAAAACAGAUGCAGCUAGAUUGGCUAAUCUGCCAGAAGAUUUACAACCAGAAGAGUGGGAAUGGAUGAUUGAGUACUUUGGCACUGAUUCAAAAUUUCAGGAACGCAGCCAAAUGAACGCCGAUAACCAUAAGAAACAGAAGACAAAACACAUAAUGGGAUCAAAAUCUUACUCGCAAGUUAGUUUUGAGAAGAGAAACUUGGAAACUGGAGAAGAGCCAGAUUGUAUUGCUCUAUGGGAACUCACCCACACAAACGAUGGAACAUGGUCUAACACAGAUUCCCAGAAAGUUUACGACAAAGCACUUGAAGAGGUUAAAAACAAACAAGCUGAAACUGAAGGUCCACUUUCAAGUGAGCAGAAAAACAAUAUUUUCCAGACCGCUUGCAAAGACACUCUGGAAUGCAAGUCAUCGCAGCCUCGUGGGUACGGAUACAUGGCCAAAACUUCAACUAGUUCUGAAAAGUUCCGUAUCCAGAUUGAAGAGCAAGCUCGUGCUACAGCAGCCACCCAGGAGCGAAACUCUCAGCUCAGCCAGCAGGUCAAUGACUUAGAAGAUCAACUACAAGAUGAACGUGCUAACACACAAGAUAGGAUUAACUUGGAGCGUGCUGAGAGAGAACAACUUGAGGAGAGGUUAAAAGAAGAGCGUGCUGAAAGGGAAAGAUUGUUGCAAGAGGAGCGAACAUCAAGGCUGGAAUUGGAAAAAAACAUGAUGGCAAAGUUUGUAGAAUUGAGCAAACAGAUGGGAACCCAACAGGUGAUGGUGAUUACAGUCAUAUGCUUCCGACCUUGUGCCUACGAAGAGGGUUGACAAAGAAAAUAGUAAUCCAAACUUGCAAAAUAUUCUUUCACAGACAUCUAGUCCUAAUAAGACUCCAGGUUCAAGGCCGACUGCUAUUUCUUCAAAUGCGCUCAUACAAGCUGCAACAAGGCAAUCUCGAAUGUUUAAAGCAAUGGAUCCAAAGAACUAGCUGGACUGGACUCUAGAUCACGGGCAGUUUAGUCUUCGAAGUUAAUUAGGAUGGCUAAAUUACAUUUCAGUUUUAUUUGAUGGAUAUUUUCUAUCAGAAUUAUGAAUUGUAUGAAUCUACAUAUUAUAUGUAUGGUUUUGAAUAUUGUAAUUGAAAGCUUGUAUUUUUUACGGUUGCAAUAGACUAUUACCACAA